rnacentral:tRNA from 1 species
GGGGGGAUCGCAUAGUGGUCUAGUGCGGCCGCCUGCUAAGCGGUUACGGGGGGUUGCCUCCGUCACGGGUUCGAAUCCCGUUCCCCCCGCCA